rnacentral:rRNA from 1 species
AACGAACGCUGGCGGCAUGCCUAACACAUGCAAGUCGAACGAGACCUUCGGGUCUAGUGGCGCACGGGUGCGUAACGCGUGGGAACCUGCCCUUAGGUUCGGAAUAACUCCCCGAAAGGGGUGCUAAUACCGGAUAAUGUCUUCGGACCAAAGAUUUAUCGCCUUUGGAUGGGCCCGCGUUGGAUUAGCUAGUUGGUAGGGUAAAAGCCUACCAAGGCGACGAUCCAUAGCUGGUCUGUGAGGAUGGUCAGCCACACUGGGACUGAGACACGGCCCACACUCCUACGGGACGUAGCAGCGGGGAAUAUUGGACACCGGGCUAAAGCCUGAGCCAGCAAUGUCGCGUGAGUGAUGAAUGCCUUAGGGGUGUAAAGCUCUAUUACCCGGGAUGAUAAUGACAGUACCGGUAGAAUAAGGCCCGGCUAACUCCGUG